rnacentral:rRNA from 1 species
UGUGUAGGUGGUCAUAUUAGUCGUCCGUUAAGACCCAGGGCCUAACCUUGGAAGUGCGGGCGAAACGGUAUGACUCGAGGGCGUGAGAGGUGCAUAGAACUCUAGGUGUAGGGGUGAAAUCCGUAGAUAUUGGGAAGAACACCGGUGGCGAAGGCGGCUCUCUGGACCGAUACUGACGCUGAGGCGCGAAAGCGUGGGGAGGCAAAACA